rnacentral:rRNA from 1 species
GCCAGACUCCUACGGGAGGCAGCAGUGGGGAAUAUUGCACAAUGGGGGGAACCCUGAUGCAGCGACGCCGCGUGGGUGAAGGAGUAUUUCGGUAUGUAAAGCCCUAUCAGCAGGGAAGAACAAUGACGGUACCUGACUAAGAAGCACCGGCUAACUACGUGCCAGCAGCCGCGGUAAUACGUAGGGGGCAAGCGUUAUCCGGAUUUACUGGGUGUAAAGGGAGCGUAGACGGCUGUGCAAGCCAGAUGUGAAAGCCCGGGGCUCAACCCCGGGACUGCAUUUGGAACUGCGUGGCUUGAGUGUCGGAGAGGCAGGCGGAAUUCCUAGUGUAGCGGUGAAAUGCGUAGAUAUCAGGAGGAACACCGGUGGCGAAGGCGGCCUGCUGGACUGCGACUGACGUUGAGGCCCGAAAGCGUGGGGAGCAAACAGGAUUAGAUACCCGAGUAA